GCUUGAACAGCGCAAGGCCAAGCAUAAAUAGCCUGAGUAUCAGCCCCUCGGUAUUGCCACGUGGUAUUGCGGCAAUACCAAGGAGCUGAUACUCAGGCUAAAGCAUAAAUAAUUAUUAGUUUCACGUCCUAUCUUUUCAACAGAAAGGAUAGCCUGCAACAGAAAGGAUAGCCUGCAUAGCAAACGGUUUUUAAACCGUCAGCUACGCAGGCUACAGAAAGGAUAAUGCAGGUCAAUGUUUAAAUUUCUUGAAAAUUAACACAACUUGGUUACCUGCAUGGUCCUGGUAUAUAGUUAUAAAUAUGACAUACAAUGCAUUCACAAGUUAUGUAACGUUAUUGGUUAUUUAUGGCUUGAAACUACGCUUGUUUUUAACUUUGAUAAUUUUAGCCUGUUGUUUGCACUCAUCAUACAAAGGAUACGUGCAGUUUGGAGUUGAUUUCUGGAUCUGAAAAUGUAGUAGCCAGUGUAGCAGGCAGUGUUAAGCCUGGUUCACACUGGUCGUAAUUCAUCGGCAAUCUAUUGUAUUCUUUUCCGACAGACAAAGCAUCGACCACAGACAAUGGAAAUCCCCGAUUCUUACAACCAGUGUGAACCAGGCAUCAGUUGGCACUGCCAAGCAGGCUAAAACGUGUGGCGUACUGUAGUAUGUGGCUUCUAUAGGAUAGGAACAAGUGAGUUUGUCGUUGACUGAUUGACAUAAACAUGCCCAA